rnacentral:rRNA from 1 species
GACGUAGGGUGCAAGCGUUGUCCGGAUUUAUUGGGCGUAAAGAGCUCGUAGGCGGCUUGUUGCGUCGACUGUGAAAACCCGCGGCUUAACCGCGGGCUUGCAGUUGAUACGGGCAGGCUAGAGUUCGGUAGGGGAGACUGGAAUUCCUGGUGUAGCGGUGAAAUGCGCAGAUAUCAGGAGGAACACCGGUGGCGAAGGCGGGUCUCUGGGAGGGCACUGACGCUGAGACGCGAAAGCGUGGGGAGCAAACAGG